AACACAUGCAAGUCGAGGGGCAGCGGGGUUUUAGCUUGCUAAAACUGCCGGCGACCGGCGCACGGGUGAGUAACACGUAUGCAACCUGCCCAUUGCAGGGGGAUAAGCGGAAGAAAUUCCGUCUAAUACCGCGUAAUAKCCUUYGAAGGCAUCUUCAWAGGAUUAAAGAAAUUCGGCAAUGGAUGGGCAUGCGGCGCAUUAGCUAGUUGGCGGGGUAACGGCCCACCAAGGCGACGAUGCGUAGGGGUUCUGAGAGGAAGGUCCCCCACACUGGUACUGAGACACGGACCAGACUCCUACGGGAGGCAGCAGUGAGGAAUAUUGGUCAAUGGGCGRGAGCCUGAACCAGCCAAGUCGCGUGAGGGAAGACGGUUCUAUGGAUUGUAAACCUCUUUUGUCAGGGAGCACUAAGCCACGAGUGGUGUAAAGAGAGUACCUGAAGAAAAAGCAUCGGCUAACUCCGUGCCAGCAGCCGCRGUAAUACGGAGGAUGCGAGCGUUAUCCGGAUUUAUUGGGUUUAAAGGGUGCGUAGGCGGAAGAUUAAGUCAGCGGUUAAACUGCGGAGCUCAACUCCGUAUCGCCGUUGAAACUGGUUUUCUAGAGUGGGUGAGAAGUAUGCGGAAUGCGUGGUGUAGCGGUGAAAUGCAUAGAU
rnacentral:rRNA from 1 species